rnacentral:rRNA from 1 species
GACGAACGCUGGCGGCGUGCUUAACACAUGCAAGUCGAACGGAAAGGCCCUGCUUUUGUGGGGUGCUCGAGUGGCGAACGGGUGAGUAACACGUGAGUAACCUGCCCUUGACUUUGGGAUAACUUCAGGAAACUGGGGCUAAUACCGGAUAGGAGCUCCUGCUGCAUGGUGGGGGUUGGAAAGUUUCGGCGGUUGGGGAUGGACUCGCGGCUUAUCAGCUUGUUGGUGGGGUAGUGGCUUACCAAGGCUUUGACGGGUAGCCGGCCUGAGAGGGUGACCGGCCACAUUGGGACUGAGAUACGGCCCAGACUCCUACGGGAGGAAGAAGUGGGGAAUAUUGCACAAUGGGCGGAAGCCUGAUGCAGCAACGCCGCGUGCGGGAUGACGGCCUUCGGGUUGUAAACCGCUUUCGCCUGUGACGAAGCGUGAGUGAAGGUAAUGGGUAAAGAAGCACCGGCUAACUACGUG